ACUGCCACUAGUCUUAUUGGAGCAGGAGGUGUCCUUCGUGAUUCCUAAGGUGACUGGAUUGCUGGUUUUUCUGUGAAUUUGGGUAAGGAGCAAAUUUUGGAGGCUGAGAUAUGGGGGCUGUAUUUUGGGCUGAAGCUUGCUGUCGAGAAAGCAACAACGACUACAGCCUUCACUUGCGACUGCGAUGGAAUUCUCAAGCUGCUCAUCCCUUCGGCCUUCACCGGUAACUCCAAGGUCUUCUAGCUCAAGAUGAAGAGCGAUUACGAUCGCUAUCUUGCUGAGUUCAAGAUCAAAGUAUUUUUAUGAGGUACUUGAGGAGGACAUCCAUCAAGUAAUUGUCGAAAACCAGUUAUUUGACAGGAUGUAAUUAUACAGAAAAUAACUUUUAUCUUCGUUGAAAUUAUAGAAUGUAUAUUAGAAUUUACUGGAAAAUUUUGAGAUUCUCAACUCUUGGUUUCAUUCUUGGACAAAAUUUACCAAUUUGUAAGAUGAAUAACCCAUUUCUCUGUUUCUCAUCUUGUCUUCAUCAAUCUUCACUAUCAUAAUCCAAUAUUUUGAAAUUUGUCAUUA